CCGCCCGUCACACUAUAGGAGUUGGCCAGGUUUGAAGUCAUUACCCUUAAACGUAAGGAGGGGGAUGCCUAAGGCUAGGCUUGCGACUGGAGUGAACUCGUAACAAG
rnacentral:ncRNA from 1 species